CCACGCCGUAAACUAUGAUAGCUCGUUGUCGGCGAUAUACAGUCGGUGACUUAGCGAAAGCGUUAAGCUAUCCACCUGGGGAGUACGUUCGCAAGAAUGAAACUCAAAGGAAUUGACGGGGGCCCGCACAAGCGGAGGAACAUGUGGUUUAAUUCGAUGAUACGCGAGGAACCUUACCCGGGCUUGAAAGUUAGUGACGGAUGCCGAAAGGUGUCUUCCCUUCGGGGCACGAAACUAGGUGCUGCAUGGUUGU
rnacentral:rRNA from 1 species